rnacentral:rRNA from 1 species
CCUACGGGAGGCAGCAGUGGGGAAUUUUGCGCAAUGCUCGUAAGAGUGACGCAGCGACGCCGCGUGAAUGACGAAGGCCUUCGGGUCGUAAAGUUCUUUCGACAGGGAAGAAAAUGCCUAUAAGUAACUGUGUAUGUAUUGACGGUACCUGUAUAAGCAGCCCCGGCUAACUCCGUGCCAGCAGCCGCGGUAAUACGGAGGGGGCGAGCGUUGUUCGGAGUGACUGGGCGUAAAGAGCACGUAGGCGGUGUUGUAAGUCAUUAGUCAAAGACUAGAGCUCAACUUUAGUAAGGCUAGUGAUACUAUAAUACUAGAGUAUCAGAGAGGAUUGCAGAAUUCCUGGUGUAGCGGUGAAAUGCGUAGAUAUCACGAGGAACCCCGAUUGCGAAGGCAGCCUGCCGGGGUGCGACUGACGCUGAGGCUCGAAGGUGCGGGUAUCAAACAGGAUUAGAUACCCCUGUAGUC